GAUGAACGCUGGCGGCGUGCUUAACACAUGCAAGUCGAGCGAAGCACUCUGAUUACUUCGGUUUGAAGAGUGACUGAGCGGCGGACGGGUGAGUAACACGUGGGUAACCUGCCUCACACAGGGGGAUAACAGUUAGAAAUGACUGCUAAUACCGCAUAAGACCACAGCACCGCAUGGUGCAGGGGUAAAAACUCCGGUGGUGUGAGAUGGACCCGCGUCUGAUUAGCUAGUUGGUGAGGUAACGGCUCACCAAGGCGACGAUCAGUAGCCGACCUGAGAGGGUGACCGGCCACAUUGGGACUGAGACACGGCCCAAACUCCUACGGGAGGCAGCAGUGGGGAAUAUUGCACAAUGGGCGAAAGCCUGAUGCAGCGACGCCGCGUGAAGGAUGAAGUAUUUCGGUAUGUAAACUUCUAUCAGCAGGGAAGAAAAUGACGGUACCUGACUAAGAAGCCCCGGCUAACUACGUGCCAGCCGCCGCAGUAAAAC
rnacentral:rRNA from 1 species